rnacentral:rRNA from 1 species
AUUGAACGCUGGCGGCAGGCCUAACACAUGCAAGUCGAGCGGAGCGGCGGACGGGUGAGUAAUGCCUAGGAAUCUGCCUGGUAGUGGGGGAUAACGUCCGGACACGGGCGCUAAUACCGCAUACUAUCAGAUGAGCCUAGGUCGGAUUAGCUAGUUGGUGGGGUAAAGGCCUACCAAGGCGACGAUCCGUAACUGGUCUGAGAGGAUGAUCAGUAACACGGGAAAUGGGACACGGUCCAGACUCGUACGGGAGGCAGCAGUGGGAAAUAUUGGGCAAUGGGCGAAAGCCUGAACCAGCCAUGCCGCGUAUGUGAAGAAGGUCUUCGGAUUGUAAAGCACGUUAAGUUGGGAGGCGUUACCAAAAGAAUAAGCACCGGCUAACUUCGUGCCAGCAGCCGCGGUAAUAC